rnacentral:rRNA from 1 species
GGACCGGAGUGGACGCAUCACUGGUGUUCGGGUUGUCAUGCCAAUGGCACUGCCCGGUAGCUAAAUGCGGAAGAGAUAAGUGCUGAAAGCAUCUAAGCACGAAACUUGCCCCGAGAUGAGUUCUCCCUGAGACUUUAAGUCUCCUGAAGGAACGUUGAAGACGACGACGUUGAUAGGCCGGGUGUGUAAGCGCAGCGAUGCGUUGAGCUAACCGGUACUAAUGAACCGUGAGGCUUAACCUUACAACGCCGAAG